rnacentral:rRNA from 1 species
AGCGAACGCUGGCGGCAUGCUUAACACAUGCAAGUCGCACGGGCAGCAAUGUCAGUGGCGGACGGGUGAGUAACGCGUAGGUAUCUAUCCUUGGGUGGGGACGAACUGUGGGAAACGUAACAGCUAAUAACCGCAUGAUGACCGAGGUCUAAAGGACGCAAGUCGCCUGGGGCGGGAGCCUGCGUACGAUUAGCUUGUUGGGUGGGGUAAAGGACCUACCCAAGGCGACGAUCGUAGUCUGGUCUGAGAGGAUGAUCAGCCACAUUGGGA